GGGGGCUGGAGGGGAGGUGGGGGGGACGCCGAGCGUGUUUUCCAUCUGGCUCUCAAAGCUGACCUCGCUCCGCGUUGUCUUUGCAGUUUUAGCUUAUUCAGUGACACCUGUCGCCAGGUAGGACUCCCGUCCCCCUUCUCAUUGGGGGACAUCUUUCGAACCGCCCCAGAAGAGAAUCUGGGGAGACCAAGACUCAAAAAGCGUAGGGGUAUAGGUCUGCCCUGUCAUUGAUGUAGCCCCUGCUACUACACAUAGCCGGGAGCAGCCGACAGAUGGGCGUAGUCAGUGCCUCCGGGCCAGUGACGAAUCCCCUUCUUUCUCCUUUGAGGCGCCACAGGAUCUUCAAGGAGUUAUGACGCCCGCUUCCGAAAGACGAAACCCCGCGGACACGCACACUCGAGUCCUGGGCUCCGCGUCCCAGUGCUCUCUGUAGCACACCAAGGGCCGCGGCCAUCGGUGUUCUGGAGCUGAACAGGCUUGAGCUUUUCCCAGGCCUGAGGCGAGGUUCGAGGACGCGCAGAUGCCCGAGUCCCAGGUCGCGCCCCGCGUGCGGCCGGCUAGGUGCGGGCCUCGGGCACGGCGCCCCGCCCAGGCCCCGAGCCGCGUGCAGGGGCGCGGGGCGGAGUCUGCCCUGGGGGCGUGGCCCAGCCGCAGGCCCGAAGCGCGUGGCUGGGAGGGGCUGCGCGCGGCCCGUUCACCACGUGAGAGCGGGUGCUGGCCCCACCCGCGUGUGCCACCCCCGGGGGAGGUCACCUUCACCGAGUUGUGGGAGUGGGCGCUGAGGCCUCUAUCCUGGAAAGCAGGAGCUGACAGGGUUCGGGAAAAGGGUCUCAGAAGUGGCAUUCUCCUGGGAUUAACAGACUACUGGGUUACAGAAGUGAGCAGGAUAGAAUUUGGUUGUUUUGAGGUGGGUUUUCAUUGCUGCUGUUGUUUUGUACCAGAGAUUUAAUCCAGAAGUGCUUUAUUUUUUUUAUUUUUUGAGACAGGGAUUCACAAAAUUGCUCAGGACCUUGCUAAAUUGCUGAAGCUGACCUCAAACUUUAAAUCCGCCUGACUCAGCCUAUUAGUUGCUGGGAUUACAGGCAUGUGCCACCACACCUGGCUCUGUAGAUCCUUAAGAGAUACUUGGGGAUAACCGAAAGGACCAGAUGAACAAAUAAAACCCUUUCACUUAGUUGUGCUAUAAAGAAAAUAAAGCAAGGUAAUAGAGUGGAUGACUGAGAUUGAGGAAAUGAUGGAGAUUAGGGGUGAGUUUAGAUCUCAAAAAAGAUAAGGAAUCAUCUACAAAAAGAUCUGAGGCAGGGAGAACAUUCCAGGCAAAGAGCAAAUGCAAGGGGAUGGAAAUGAGAAAGAAAUAGGGGUACAGGCAUUGAGGGAUAUUCCAGGCAUGGAAAGACUACAAAACCAGAGACCUUAUGUACCAGCCAUGCACAGGAGCAACUGGAAAGACCGGGGCCGGAGGGUAAUAUGGUGAUUAGGCCUUAGAAAAUUAUGUGGAGUCAGGGAAAGUUUCUUAGUUGCAGGGAAUUAUAAUCAGAGUUGUGCUUUAGGUAGAUGACGGUUUCAUAUGUUGUGGAUGGAUUGGAGGAGAGAAAUUUGGAAAGGGAAAGAUCACAUAUUUUUUGACACAAAAAAUAUGUGUACAGUUUUUGCUAUUCUAAUUCUUCCUCUCCUCCCCCAGUGAAGUGCAACUAUACCUAGUGGCUUGCUUCUGAUGAACAGAAUGUGGCAGAAAUGAUGCUGUGUGACAUUCGUGACAGGGCGCAGGUUUUGUGAUUUCCUCCUUGCUUUCUAUCUUGUAUCGCGUUUUCUGGGAGAAGCCACCUGCCAUGUUGUAAGGACACACUCAAGCAGCCCUGUGGGAAAGCUCAAGUGGCAAGGGACUGGGGCCUUCUGCCAAUAGCCAUGUGAGUGUGCCAUCUUGGAAUAGAUCCUCCAGCCCCCUUUUUUAAGUCAAACCUUUGGAGGACUGUGGCCCUGGCUGACAUCUCGACUACGGCCUCCUGGGAGACCCUUAGCUGGAACCACCCAGCUCAACUCUUUCCAGAUUGAUGAUCUACAGAAACUGAGAUGGUGUUUGCUUUGGUAAGCCUCUAAGUUUGUGAAUAAUAUAUUAUGUAGCCAGUAGAUAUAGUAGAACCCACUUAUCCUAGGGGAUACCCCUCAAGACUCCCAGCAAAUGCUUAAACUGUGGUUAGUACCAAACCCUGCAUUUAUAUUUUUUCCUGUGGAUUGUUAAAUACACAAAUGUAAUACCUUUUCCUUUAUCACCAAGCACUUAUGCACUGUGGGUGUAAUUUUUGCAGUUUGAGGUGUAGAAGCAAAACUAGCAUGAAUUUCUUUUCCUUCUUCACAAU
rnacentral:lncRNA from 1 species